AGUGAACGCUGGCGGUAGGCCUAACACAUGCAAGUCGAACGGCAGCACAGUAAUAGCUUGCUCUUACGGGUGGCGAGUGGCGGACGGGUGAGGAAUACAUCGUAAUCUACUUUUUCGUGGGGGAUAACGUAGGGAAACUUACGCUAAUACCGCAUACGAUCUACGGGUGAAAGCAUGGGAUCUUUGGGCCUUUUGCGAUUGAAUUAGCCGAUGUCGGAUUAGCUAGUUGGCGGGGUAAAGGCCCACCAAGGCGACGAUCCGUAGCUGGUCUGAGAGGAUGAUCAGCCACACUGGAACUGAGACACGGUCCAGACUCCUACGGGAGGCAGCAGUGGGGAAUAUUGGACAAUGGGCGCAAGCCUGAUCCAGCCAUACCGCGUGGGUGAAGAAGGCCUUCGGGUUGUAAAGCCCUUUUGUUGGGAAAGAAAAGCAGCAGGUUAAGACCCCGCUGUUCUGACGGUACCCAAAGAAUAAGCACCGGCUAACUUCGU
rnacentral:rRNA from 1 species